CGUUCAACCGCAAAACAAGCAGAGGGGGCUUAGUGGUGGGGUGACUGCGUACCUUUUGUAUAAUGGGUCAGCGACUUAUAUUCUGUAGCAAGGUUAACCGUAUAGGGGAGCCGGAGGGAAACCGAGUCUUAAUUGGGCGUUAAGUUGCAGGGUAUAGACCCGAAACCCGGUGAUCUAGCCAUGGGCAGGUUGAAGGUUGGGUAACACUAACUGGAGGACCGAACCGACUAAUGUUGAAAAAUUAGCGGAUGACCUGUGGCUGGGGGUGAAAGGCCAAUCAAACCGGGAGAUAGCUGGUUCUCCCCGAAAGCUAUUUAGGUAGCGCCUCGUGAAUUCAUCUCCGGGGGUAGAGCACUGUUUCGGCUAGGGGGCCAUCCCGGCUUACCAACCCGAUGCAAACUGCGAAUACCGGAGAAUGUUAUCACGGGAGACACACGGCGGGUGCUAACGUCCGUCGUGAAGAGGGAAACAACCCAGACCGCCAGCUAAGGUCCCAAAGUCAUGGUUAAGUGGGAAACGAUGUGGGAAGGCCCAGACAGCCAGGAUGUUGGCUUAGAAGCAGCCAUCAUUUAAAGAAAGCGUAAUAGCUCACUGGUCGAGUCGGCCUGCGCGGAAGAUGUAACGGGGCUAAACCAUGCACCGAAGCUGCGGCAGCGAACGUAUCACUUAAAGCGAUUCAGCGGGUUACGAUUGACGGAGCGAAGCGACGUCAAAGCGUAUACAAAGUCGAGUCGGUUUAAGGAUACGUUCGUUGGGUAGGGGAGCGUUCUGUAAGCCUGCGAAGGUGGCCUGUGAGGGUUGCUGGAGGUAUCAGAAGUGCGAAUGCUGACAUAAGUAACGAUAAAGCGGGUGAAAAGCCCGCUCGCCGGAAGACCAAGGGUUCCUGUCCAACGUUAAUCGGGGCAGGGUGAGUCGACCCCUAAGGCGAGGCCGAAAGGCGUAGUCGAUGGGAAACGGGUUAAUAUUCCCGUACUUGGUGUUACUGCGAAGGGGGGACGGAGAAGGCUAUGUUGGCCGGGCGACGGUUGUCCCGGUUUAAGCGUGUAGGCUGGUUUUCCAGGCAAAUCCGGAAAAUCAAGGCUGAGGCGUGACGACGAGGCACUACGGUGCUGAAGCAACAAAUGCCCUGCUUCCAGGAAAAGCCUCUAAGCAUCAGGUAACACGAAAUCGUACCCCAAACCGACACAGGUGGUCAGGUAGAGAAUACCAAGGCGCUUGAGAGAACUCGGGUGAAGGAACUAGGCAAAAUGGUGCCGUAACUUCGGGAGAAGGCACGCUGACACGUAGGUGAAGUGAUUUACUCAUGGAGCUGAAGUCAGUCGAAGAUACCAGCUGGCUGCAACUGUUUAUUAAAAACACAGCACUGUGCAAACACGAAAGUGGACGUAUACGGUGUGACGCCUGCCCGGUGCCGGAAGGUUAAUUGAUGGGGUCAGCGCAAGCGAAGCUCCUGAUCGAAGCCCCGGUAAACGGCGGCCGUAACUAUAACGGUCCUAAGGUAGCGAAAUUCCUUGUCGGGUAAGUUCCGACCUGCACGAAUGGCGUAAUGAUGGCCAGGCUGUCUCCACCCGAGACUCAGUGAAAUUGAACUCGCUGUGAAGAUGCAGUGUACCCGCGGCAAGACGGAAAGACCCCGUGAACCUUUACUAUAGCUUGACACUGAACAUUGAGCCUUGAUGUGUAGGAUAGGUGGGAGGCUUUGAAGCGUGGACGCCAGUCUGCGUGGAGCCGACCUUGAAAUACCACCCUUUAAUGUUUGAUGUUCUAACGUGGACCCGUUA
rnacentral:rRNA from 1 species